GACUUUGGACAAUGUGGGCAACCCUGAUCCAGCCAUCCCUCGUUUUCUAUUAAUGCCUUCGGUAUGUAAAGCACUUUUUGCAGGGAAGAAAAGGCGCCGGCUAAUACCUGCCGCCGCUCACGGUACCUGCAGAAUAAGCACCGGCUCACUCCGUGCCAGCCACCGCGGUAAUACGUAUGGUGCAAGCGUUAAUCGGAAUUACUGGGCGUAAAGCGUGCGCAGGCGGUUCGGAAAGAAAGAUGUGAAAUCCCAGGGCUUAACCUUGGAACUGCAUUUUUAACUGCCGGGCUAGAGUAUGUCAGAGGGGGGUAGAAUUCCACGUGUAGCAGUGAAAUGCGUAGAGAUGUGGAGGAAUACCGAUGGCGAAGGCAGCCCCCUGGGAUAAUACUGACGCUCAUGCACGAAAGCGUGGGGAGCAAACAG
rnacentral:rRNA from 1 species